CCAGAUGGGACGCUUGGCAUUCAUGCCAAAAAGUUCAAUCUUGGAUUCAUCAGACCAGGAAAUCUGGUUUCUCAUGGUCUGAGAGUACUUUUGAUAAACUCCAAGAAGGGUGGCAUGUGCCUUUUAAUGAAGAGUGGCUUUCGUCUGCCCACACAAGCCUAAAGGCCUGAUUUGUGGAGUGCUGCAGAGAUGGUUGUCCUUCUGGAAGGUUCUCCCAUCUCCACAGAGGAACUCUGGAGUUCUGUCAGAGUGACCUUCCGGUUCUUGGUCACCUCUCUGACCAAGGCUCUUCUACCCCGAUUACUCAGUUUGGCCGAGCGGCCAGCUCUAGGAAGACUCUUGUUGGUUUCAAACUUUUUCCAUUUAAGAAUGAUGGAGGCCACUGUGUUCUUGGGGACCUUCAAUGCUGCAGACAUGUUUUGGUACCCUUCCCCAGAUCUGCGCCUUGACACAAUCCUGUGUCGGAGCUCUACGGACAAUUCCUUCGACCUCGUGGCUUGGUUUUUGCUCUGACAUGUACUGUCAACUGCGGGAAUUUAUAUAGACAGGUGUGUGCCUUUCCAAGUCAUGUCCAAUAAAUUGGGUGUACCACAGGUGGACUCCAAUCAAGUUGUAGAAACAUCAAGGAUGAUCAAUGGAAACAGGAUGCACCUCAAGUCUCAUAUCCAAGGGUCUGAAUACGUAAAUAGGAUAUAUAUAUUUUUGUAUUUUAUACAUUUGCCAAAAAAAUCUAAAAACCUGUUUUCGCUUUGUCAUUAUGGGGUAUUGUGAUGUCAUUAUGGGGUAUUGCGAUGUCAUUAUGGGGUAUUGUGAUGUCAUUAUGGGGUAUUGUGAUGUCAUUAUGGGGUAUUAUGUGUGGACUUCUGAGGAUUUUAAUUAUUGAAAUACAUUUUAGAACAAGGCUGUAACGUAAUAAAAUACAGAAAAAGUCAAGGGGUCUGAAUACUUUUCAAAUGCACUGUAUAUCUGAGCUAGAGGUGAGGGGGCAGGGUCGCCUCAUGGGCUAGGGGGCAGGGUCGCCUCAUGGGCUAGGGGGCAGGGUCGCCUCAUGGGCUAGGGGGCAGGGUCGCCUCAUGCCCCAGAGGUUAGGGGGCAGGGUCGCCUCAUGCCCCAGAGGUUAGGGGGCAGGGUCGCCUCAUGCCCCAGAGGUUAGGGGGCAGGGUCGCCUCAUGCCCCAGAGGUUAGGGGGCAGGGUCGCCUCAUGCCCCAGAGGUUAGGGGGCAGGGUCGCCUCAUGCCCCAGAGGUUAGGGGGCAGGGUCGCCUCAUGCCCCAGAGGUUAGGGGGCAGGGUCGCCUCAUGCCCCAGAGGUUAGGGGGCAGGGUCGCCUCAUGCCCCAGAGGUUAGGGGGCAGGGUCGCCUCAUGCCCCAGAGGUUAGGGGGCAGGGUCGCCUCAUGCCCCAGAGGUUAGGGGUCAGGGUCCUGUGGGUUUCUCUGGCCCCUUGGGAACACUGGCAUUUUGCACCUUUUAUAUUAGCUACAAAAGACUCUCUACACCAAUGCACAUCUACACAGUCUAGCUGGAGGACCUGUGCUAGCCUCAAUAAAAACGUCUCAGCAACAAUAGUUAAACUGACUAGGAAAAUCACAUUUGGGUAUUUUACACAAAACCCCAAAACCAAGACAACAUGGAGGCCACAUUCCUGCAUACGGUAGCCAUUAGCCAAGCCCACGUACAACUCAAUAUUCCCUGUUAGUUUGGCGUAUAUACUGUCUUCUCCCUAUGACUGUAAACUAGUGUAACAGACACACAGAGGGAGAUCCAUAAACUAGUCCCGAGGUCGCUCCAUAACACACUAGUUAUGGAUCUGUACUGUCACAAAACAGCCUGGCAGCCAUGACAGAGCUAAAAUUAGCUUGGAUCAUUAUCUUCGAUCAGGAGGCCCAGUCCAGAGUUAUGGCCUGCAGCUCACACUGUCUCAACAUCCCAAACAAGUUGGACUGAACUUGAAAGUUGAGUGCCUUGGAUGAGAACACAAACUUAGCUGAUGGUCAACUAUUCUCUGUUAUCAACUUCAAGACCUGGUUUACAUGCUAGAAGGACUUUAGUAAUACUAUAACAGGGGUAGACAGAGGUUCAGUAAUACUAUAACAGGGGUAGACAGAGGUUCAGUAAUAUUAUAACUGGGGUAGACAGAGGUUCAGUAAUAUUAUAACUGGGGUAGACAGAGGUUCAGUAAUAUUAUAACUGGGGUAGACAGAGGUUCAGUAAUAUUAUAACUGGGGUAGACAGAGGUUCAGUAAUACUAUAACUGGGGUAGACAGAGGUUCAGUAAUAUUAUAACAGGGGUAGACAGGUUCAGUAAUAUUAUAACUGGGGUAGACAGAGGUUCAGUAAUAUUAUAACUGGGGUAGACAGAGGUUCAGUAAUAUUAUAACUGGGGUAGACAGAGGUUCAGUAAUAUUAUAACUGGGGUAGACAGAGGUUCAGUAAUAUUAUAACUGGGGUAGACAGAGGUUCAGUAAUAUUAUAACUGGGGUAGACAGAGGUUCAGUAAUAUUAUAACUGGGGUAGA